rnacentral:rRNA from 1 species
CCUACGGGAGGCAGCAGUGGGGAAUAUUGCACAAUGGGCGAAAGCCUGAUGCAGCGACGCCGCGUGAGGGAUGACGGCCUUCGGGUUGUAAACCUCUUUCAGUACAGACGAAGCGCAAGUGACGGUAUGUGCAGAAGAAGGACCGGCCAACUACGUGCCAGCAGCCGCGGUAAUACGUAGGGUCCGAGCGUUGUCCGGAAUUAC